rnacentral:rRNA from 1 species
AGCAAACGCUGGCGGCGUGCCUAAUACAUGCAAGUCGAACGAGGAAAGCUUUCGGGUGAGUACUAGUGGCGCACGGGUGAGUAACGCGUGGGUAAUCUACCAUCGAGUGGGGAAUAACUAAUCGAAAGAUUAGCUAAUACCGCAUAAGACCACAGAAGCUACGGCUUCAGAGGUCAAAGGAGCAAUUCGCUUGAUGAUGAGCCCCGCGUCGGAUUAGCUAGUUGGUAGGGUAAUGGCCUACCAAGGCAGUGAUCCGUAGCUGGUCUGAGAGGAUGAUCAGCCACACUGGAACUGAGACACGGUCCAGACUCCUACGGGAGGCAGCAGUAGGGAAUAUUGCGCAAUGGGGGGAAACCCUGACGCAGCGACGCCGCGUGAGUGAUGAAGGCCUCGGUCGUAAAGGACUCUGUUGUCAAGGGAAGU